rnacentral:rRNA from 1 species
GACGAACGCUGGCGGCGUGCUUAACACAUGCAAGUCGAACGGAAAGGCCUGCUUUCCCUUGUGGAUUGCGGGUACUCGAGUGGCGAACGGGUGAGUAACACGUGAGUGAUCUGCCCCCAACUUGGGUAUAAGCCUGGGAAACUGGGUCUAAUUCCCGAUAGGACUGCAGGGUGGUGCCUGUGGUGGAAAACGAUUUUCUAGUGGUUGGGGAUGAGCUCGCGGCCUAUCAGCUUGUUGGUGGGGUAAUGGCCUACCAAGGCGGCGACGGGUAGCCGGCCUGAGAGGGUGGACAGCCACAUUGGGACUGAGAUACGGCCCAGACUCCUACGGGAGGCAGCAGUGGGGGAUAUUGCACAAUGGGCGGAAGCCUGAUGCAGCGACGCCGCGUGGGGGAUGACGGCCUUCGGGUUGUAAACUCCUUUCGACCGCGAGGAAGCCACCUGGUUGGGAGGGUGGUGACAGUAGUGGUAGAAGAAGCACCGGCUAACUACGUG